rnacentral:tRNA from 1 species
UAAGAUAGCUCAGUUGGUAGAGCAUGAGACUCUUCAUCUCAGGAUCAUGGGUUUGAGCCCCACAUUGGGCAAAA